GAUGAACGCUAGCUACAGGCUUAACACAUGCAAGUCGAGGGGUAACGAGAGGAAAGCUUGCUUUCCUUGUCGACGACCGGCGCACGGGUGAGUAACGCGUAUCCAACCUGCCCCCAACUAGGGAAUAACCUUGCGAAAGUAAGACUAAUACCCUAUAAUUUCCUCAGAUGUCAUCUGACGAGGAAUAAAGAUUUAUCGGUUGUGGAUGGGGAUGCGUCUGAUUAGCUUGUUGGCGGGGUAACGGCCCACCAAGGCAACGAUCAGUAGGGGUUGUGAGAGGAAGGUCCCCCACAUUGGACCUGGGACACGGUCCAAACUCCUACGGGAGGCAGCAGUGAGGAAUAUUGGUCAAUGGGCGGAAGCCUGAACCAGCCAAGUAGCGUGCAGGAUGACGGCCCUAUGGGUUGUAAACUGCUUUUAUACAGGAAUAAAGUUAGCCACGUGUGGUUAUUUGUAGGUACUGUAUGAAUAAGGACCGGCUAAUUCCGUGCCAGCCGCCGCAGUAA
rnacentral:rRNA from 1 species